rnacentral:rRNA from 1 species
UACGUAGGGUCCGAGCGUUGUCCGGAAUUAUUGGGCGUAAAGGGCUCGUAGGCGGCCAACUAAGUCAGACGUGAAAUCCCUCGGCUUAACCGGGGAACUGCAUCUGAUACUGGAUGGCUUGAGUUUGGGAGAGGGAUGCGGAAUUCCAGGUGUAGCGGUGAAAUGCGUAGAUAUCUGGAGGAACACCGGUGGCGAAGGCGGCAUCCUGGACCAACACUGACACUGAUGAGCGAAAGCCAGGGGAGCAAACGGG